rnacentral:rRNA from 1 species
GACGAACGCUGGCGGCGUGCUUAACACAUGCAAGUCGAACGGAAAGGCCCUGCUUUUGUGGGGUGCUCGAGUGGCGAACGGGUGAGUAACACGUGAGUAACCUGCCCUUGACUUUGGGAUAACUUCAGGAAACUGGGGCUAAUACCGGAUAGGAGCUCCUGCUGCAUGGUGGGGGUUGGAAAGUUUCGGCGGUUGGGGAUGGACGCGCGGCUUAUCAGCUUGUUGGUGGGGUAGUGGCUUACCAAGGCUUUGACGGGUAGCCGGCCGGGGAGGGUGACCGGCCACAUUGGGCCUGAGAUACGGCCCAGACUCCUACGGGAGGCAGCAGUGGGGAAUAUUGCACAAUGGGCGGACGCCUGAUGCAGCAACGCCGCGUGCGGGAUGACGGCCUUCGGGUUGUAAACCGCUUUCGCCUGUGACGAAGCGUGAGUGACGGUAAUGGGUAAAGAAGCACCGGCUAACUACGUG